rnacentral:rRNA from 1 species
AUCUUUGAACGCACAUUGCGCCCGUUAGUAUUCUAACGGGCAUGCCUGUUCGAGCGUCAUUUCAACCCUCAAGCCCUAUUGGGCCUGCUGUUGGAGAUCGGCCGAUGGGUGACCCCCCGGGGCCCUGGCCGCCUCCGAAAUAUAGUGGCGGUCUCGCUGUACCCUCCUCUGCGUAAUAUAAUACCUCGCUCUGGAACGCGGCGCGGCCAUGCCGUAAAACACCCAACUUCUGAAGGUUGACCUCGGAUCAGGAAGGAAUACCCGCUGAACUUAAGCAUAUCAAUAAACGAAGGAAAAGAAACCAACAGGGAUUGCCCCAGUAACGGCGAGUGAAGCGGCAACAGCUCAAAUUUGAAAUCUGGCCCUUGGGUCCUAAUUGUAAUUUGCAAAGGAUGCUUUGGGCGCGGCGCCUUCCGAGUUUCCUGGAACGGAACGCCAUAGAGGGUGAGAGCCCCGUCCGGUUGGAUGCCUAGCCUAUGUAAAGCUCCUUCAACGAGUCAAGUAGUUUGGGAAUGCUGCUCUAAAUGGGAGGUACAUGUCUUCUAAAGCUAAAUAUUGGCCACAGACCGAUAGCGCACAAGUAGAGUGAUCGAAAGAUGAAAAGCACUUUGAAAAGAGGGUUAAAUAGUACGUGAAAUUGUUGAAAGGGAAGCGUUUGUGACCAGACUUGGGCCCGGUUAAUCAUCCAGCGUUCUCGCUGGUGCACUUUGCCGGCCCAGGCCAGCAUCAGUUC